rnacentral:rRNA from 1 species
CCUACGGGUGGCAGCAGUGGGGGAUAUUGGACAAUGGGGGGAACCCUGAUCCAGCGACGCCGCGUGAGUGAAGACGUAUCUCGGUAUGUUAAGCUCUAUCAGCAGGGAAGAAGAAAUGACGGUACCUGGGUAAGAAGACCCGGCUAACUACGUGCCAGCAGCCGCGGUAAUACGGAGGGUGCGCGCGUUAAUCGGAAUUACUGGGCGUAAAGCGCUCGUAGGCGGUAUGUGAAGUCAAGGGUGAAAUCCUCGGGCUCAACGUGGGAACUGCCGUUGAAACUGGCAGACUGGAGUGUGUGAGAGGAUGGUGGAAUUCCAGGUGUAGGAGUGAAAUGCGUAGAUAUCUGGAGGAACAUCGAUGGCGAAGGCAGCUAUCUGGCACAUAACUGACGCUGAGGAGCGAAAGCGUGGGUAGCAAACAGGAUUAGAUACCCGAGUAGUC